CGUAAUUUGGUCAGCCUAAAACUAUAGAUGGUUUCUUUUACCAUCUCCUCCAAAAAUAAUACUCCUCCGUUUAUAAUAUUGUAGUGAUGAUAUACCCUAUUCUUAAAACAUUCAAUCCUCAUACCGUUUCUCUUUCUCAUUCUCAUCCUCAUCCUCAUCCUCAUCCUCAUCCUCAUCCCUUCUAUCAAUUCAAUUGGGAAAAAGCUUCUCCUCAAUAUAUAUAGAUGGUUAGGGAUUGCAGAUUUGACAAUUAUUGGACCUGAAGGUGAGGAAUUUCUGCGAAUUUGAUCGGUGCAGCUUGAAUUCAAAUACUCUACAAGUUCCACUUUUGGAAUUUGGUACUGCGGACUGGGCUUGGCUCCAGACUUUUGAUGUUUUCAGUUGCUGCCUUGGGUGCCUUAUUCUCGUGUUCCUUCUAGUUUGCUUCAGAUGUAUAACAUCGCUCCAACAACCAACGCUGUCAAAUAAUAUACGAAAAAAAACCUAACACACUCUCAAAACAUAAAACAACCGCUUUCUUCCUCCCUCGUUUCUUCCCUGCAAAACCCUUAUACUGUCAAUACUCUCAAAUCUCAAUCGAUCACAACCGGAGCGGCGAAACCCACGGCGGAGAUUUCCUUCACGCAGUGUUUCCCUUCGCCUGGCGGCGCUUCCCUUCUCACGGCAAGAUUGAAUAAUCGAAUUGGAAGAUUUUCUCAUACUAUUUUUCACAGAGGCUCUCUUCUACUGUGGUGUCGCAAUUUUUAUUUUCCUUAUUCACUCUCUGCGUAGCCCCGCUAAAAGUGUUCCUGUUGCCAGCAGUUGUGGAAAGCUAACCACUCGGAUGGGGAGUCGUAUAUCUUCAGUUGCUAUUUUGAUGCUUAGACAGCUUAGUCUUAUUAUUCCAAUGGUGACAAUGGUUUUGUUUGGCCGUGGACUGGUCCUGCAGCAUCAGCUUCUCUAGCUCCUUACUUGGUUGGUAUUGUUGUACAGUUUGCAUUCGAGCAGUAUGCAAAAUAUACGAAAUCACCUUCCUGGGCCGUCAUUCUAGUUGUAUUUCAGACUGCAUCAACUAAAUCGAGUCGCACAACUGGUAACUGCUCUAUCUUUCACAGUUAGAGGAGCUGAGAUUAAUGCACACAACUUGGCCAAUGGCUGCAGCUAAAGAACCUCCCCCAACUCUGGAAACAACAAUGUCCUACUUACAAAAAUAUCUGAGUGAACGACCCAAAUGAAGUACGAAGAAUGAAACAACCAGUUUACAUACAAAGAAAAGGGUUGCAAGAGCUACUUAGUACUCCAUGUUUAGACGGAUCAGGAAGUUAACUUAGUACAUAGUAAUUUGAGUUACUUAGUACUCCAUGUUUAGACGGAUCAGGAAGUUAACUUAGUUAUGUUCUUCUAACAAGAGCCUUAUAGGCUGGCUUUGCCAUGUUGCAGAGGGACUAGUGAGAUUCCCCCCCCCCCCCCCCCCCCCCCCCUACACCUACCCCUUAUAGUUUCUUCUGUUAGCAUAAAGAAGUUACUUUCUUUUUCAAGCUGGCAGUAGCUUCUUUAUGCUGACACAAAAGACAACUAUAACCCAAUAGUAAUCAGUGAGGAGGUUCAGAUGCAAUGGCAGUUCUGCCACAGCAACUAUAACCCAAGCUUGCAGUAGCUUCUUCAUUUUUCUCACUUAUAUAUUGCACUGUGAAAUUUAAAAGAGUAGAUUUACACUUUAUCUCCCUCGGGCCUCAACAAUGAUGUUUUAUGUUUGUAUCGAUAUUCAAGUGUUGGUUUGUUUUUAAGGGUGAAAAAGUGAUACUUUCUUGUUGUAAGUGUAGGUGUGACUCAUGUGGGUGGAGACAUGUUCAAAUUGAUUCCUUCUGGUGAUGCAAUCUUCAUGAAGUUUUCCCCUGGUGACCCAAGCAAGUUCAUGGUUACUAUUGCUGAUUCCCAGGUCCGGAUACUGGGGUUAAUGUAAUAUGUAAAUAUAAAGGUCUUCGAAAUGCAAGAAGUCAGAUCUCUGCAUCAUUUACAUCAGAUGGGAAACACAUUAUCUCAGCCAGUGAAGACUCUUCUGUUUAUGUGUUGGAAUCCAAUAAAUCAGACACAUGUCAUACAACAAUUUCAUCUCACUUCAGAAGCAAGAACUCAUUGGGUGCGCUAUGUUCAACAAAUGUAUCGUAGAUAGAUUGCAUUGAAGGAAUCAAAAAUAUACUCCGUACAACUCUAUUAAUUAAUGUGUUUUGCAUAGUUUAAUGUUGUGGUCUGAUUUUAGAACAUGUUUAUGUAAUCAGUUAUAUUAUAAUGACAAUUGCAAAAAAAAAAAAAAAUUAUUGGAGGUUUGAAAUUAAUGUUUAACCACUAUAUUAUUCA